rnacentral:rRNA from 1 species
ACGGCUCAGUAACACGUAGUCAAUCUAACCUAUGGACGGGGAUAACCUCGGGAAACUGAGGAUAAAACCCGAUAGAUCAUUAUACCUGGAACGGUUUAUGGUCCAAAUGAUUCGUCGCCGUAGGAUGGGACUGCGGCCUAUCAGCUUGUUGGUGAGGUAAUGGCCCACCAAGGCUAUUACAGGUACGGGCUCUGAGAGGAGAAGCCCGGAGAUGGGUACUGAGACACGGACCCAGGCCCUAUGGGGCGCAGCAGGCGAGAAACCUUUGCAAUGUGCGCAAGCACGACAAGGUUAAUCCGAGUGUUUCCUGCUAAAGGAAUCUUUUGUUAGUUGUAAAACCACUGAUGAAUAAGGGGUGGGCAAGUUCUGGUGUCAGCCGCCGCGGUAAAACCAGCACCUCAAGUGGUCAGGAGGAUUAUUGGGCCUAAAGCGUCCGUAGCCUGUUCUGUAAGUUUCCGGUUAAAUCCAUUAGCUCAACUAAUGGGCCGCCGAAAAUACUGCAGAACUAGGGAGUGGGAGAGGUAGACGGUACUCGGUAGGAAGGGGUAAAAUCCUUUGAUCUAUUGAUGACCACCUGUGGCGAAGGCGGUCUACCAGAACACGUUCGACGGUGAGGGAUGAAAGCUGGGGGAGCAAACCGGAUUAGAUACCCGGGUAGUCCCAGCUGUAAACGAUGCAGACUCGGUGAUGCGCUGGCUUGUGGCCAGUGCAGUGCCGCAGGGAAGCCGUUAAGUUUGCCGCCUGGGAAGUACGUACGCAAGUAUGAAACUUAAAGGAAUUGGCGGGGGAGCACCACAAGGGGUGAAGCCUGCGGUUC